AUUAGACUUUUCUUAAUUCUUAAAAAAUGUUCAUCCUUUACGCAAGGAUCGCAUAAGCAAUAAAAAAAGAGGAACCAUCCAAUGGAGUUAUUUAUAUCGAUUUAAGAAUUAUUCGAUAUCUAAAUCGAGCGAAGAUAUAUCGUCGUAUUCCUUUUAGAAGUUUCUGUUAUAGAAAAUUUAUUUCACUCCAAUAUUUAUUUUCUCUUCUGAUAAAAAAAAAAGAGAGAGAAAUAAUAGACUAAUGGUAGAUUUAACAGGAACCGGGCCUGCAGGUCCCAUUGAGCAUGGAUUCAGUAAUUGGGUUUUUAUUUUUCCUGCUGUUAUAGUCAUUGGAUUGAUGGGUUUUUUUGGUUAUAAACUAUACGAAAGUCUAAAGGAACGAACCAGGAGGAAAGAAGAGAAAAGGAAAGCAAAACACCAGAAGAGAGAUGCUAAGAAAAAGUGAAUGAUUCUUAAAAGUUUUGACUUUGAGAAGGUAUUUGUAAAAAAAAAUGAUUCAUUUGCAAUAUUUUUUCAAAUGAAAUAUCAUUGUUUUUGUUCUUUUCCCCUCUUAACAUUCCAAAAUAAUGAUUGAUCUGGAACAAAUGGACAUCAUCAUCAUCUCAAUGUUUCAUUAUUUAAUAUCAUUCCACUGAUAAAAAUGCAAAUGUGAUUUUAAUAAUGAACCCUCUUAGUAUCAAAGCCAAAACUGGUGUAAGGAAGUUUGCGGCUUCUGAAAAAAGGUGUGGACAACUAUCAUUCAUCUCUUAAUGUGAAAACGCAACAUAGUUUUAUUUAUAGUUAUAAACUGUACAUAUUUUUCCUUAAUAUUAUUGUAAAUUUGUGGUCUAUGAAAUUACUUUAGUUGUACCAAUACUAAAGUUAAGUGAAUAUUAAUAUUUUUUCCUUAUGUUUUGAAAAAUACGACAACUGUUAUUGCUGUUUUUAUAAAGCUCAUAUAAAAAAAUGGUUAAACUUGAUACUAUUAUGUGCUUUUAAUUCUAUUUAUGAAUGAAAUAUGCUCUGUUUAGUUUUUUUUAAUCAAUUUAUUAUCAAAUUAUUUACAACUUUAACUUUUCUUUAAAGUUUUAACUAAUUAUUAAUGCUUUUUAAUUAUUCUUAUUUGUUUUAGAUAAUAGACAAUUAAAAAAAUUUUCAUAACUUUGGAAUGAAUGAAACUAAUUGCCAAUAUUUUAUUGGAAUAUUUUUUUGAGUAUGGUUUUUUAAUAUUUGGUUUAAAAAUAAGAAAAAGUGCAACAAAAUACAUAGUUGCCAACUUUCCUGGAUUUUGCCAGUUUCUCCUGGUAUACUGGUUUAAUUAAAAUUCUCCUGGCUAGAAAAUUCUCUAAAAUUGAGUAAGUUUCUUAAAAGAAUUUCUAUUGAAAUAUAAUUUUUGUGCAGAUUAUUGAUUAAUUGCUUCCUUGAAUAAUUAAAUAAGCAUUACUAAUACAUAAUGAAGCGAACCUCAUUUAUAGAAAUCAAUUAAAAACUUUUUUUUCUUCUGAAAUGUUCAGUUUUAUUUUUUUUCAGAACUCUCUUUUAAUUUUAAAAAAAAUCUUUUAACUAUAUUUGGCGAAUUAAAUGACUUUUAAUAUAAGUUGCAGUGGGUAUAAUAGACCUCUGGUCGAUGUGCCCUGCUCGUCAGAGCUGCCCAACCUCCAAGUCUAAUAUAAGUUGCAUAAUACAUGAGAUUUCAAGUGUGUGUAACGUUAGUCAGAACUGGAAAAUAUUGCAGUUUUUAUAUUUUAAAGACUAUAAAAAUUCCCUAUGUGUAAAAUAUUUAGUACAUUAUGCAACAAUUAUCAUGAAGUAUGUAUUAUUUUGUAAAAUCUGCUGGAUUUUUUUUUCCUAUUCAUGUUGGCAGCUAUGAAAAUAUUUUUAAAUUGCUUCAAAAUAAUUUUUAAUUUUGUUUAAAAGUUUUUGUUAAAACAAUUUAAAAUUCAAUCUAUAUUUUCUACAAAUAGUCGCACUAAAAGUAUCCCAAUAACUUUUUCUUUAUCUGACUUAGAUAUGACUCGUUAUUUAUUAUGAUUACUCUAGUAUCCAUUUGUUUAUCCUUUUGAAAUUAUUCUCUUUGUUUAGUUCUUAAAGAGCAUUUACUUUAUCUUUUUAUUGUGAAAUCAAAUUUGGCAACCCUAUAUCUUUCACACUGCAAAAUAUUGACACUAUUAGCUUAGAAUGAAAAAAGAAAUCAUCUUAAGUAUGUUGUAUCUUAACCCCUUACCUGCCGAGUAAAAUUUACGUGAUUCACUCCCCAGUACCACCGUUUUUCGCUCAAGUGCGCUUUGUUAUGCGGUGUUUUGGUGGGGGGGAAUGUGUGUGUGUUGCAAUUUAAAAACAAUUUACUUUCACAGGAGAAGAAAAAGGAAAAAUAAAAAAUACAAAACUUAAAUCAAAGAAUAAAAAUAAAAUAUAAAAAUACAAUAUAAAAGAUGUUAAAACUUAGCUGUUGUAUGAUAAAUCCUGAAACAUGGAUAGACACAUAAACCAACAUCACAUUCAUUGCACUGAUAGCGGGAUUCGCAACGAAUAUACACGGGAAACGAAAGUAAAAGAAGAAUAAACCCGACCUAACUUAAAUAGAAACACACAAGCAAUAAAUACGAUAAUGUAACUUUUCCAAUACCUCCCUUUUCCAUUCCCCCUUCUCCGAAAUUGGUAAUACAUUCAUUGGCAAACACUUACAAGGUCAUUUUACUGCAUUCAGAAGUCGAGGGUGUAGUUCUGUUUAUAGCAGCGCAACGCAAAACAUCGCAGUUCGGGAAAGCUUAUAUGUACGCCUGCGGCAGUUAACGCAUCGUCUGACCGAGACAUAUAUAUAUACGCUCCUCGGCAGUUAAGGGGUGAAAUUAAAAUGUGUUACUUAUUAAUUAAUAAUAAAAAUAAAUUAGUUAAAUUUUAGAAAUUAAAAUUUAUAAACUUAACGAGGAAAAAUUGGAAGAAAAAAAAACUUUUUUUUUCACUUUUUUGUUCUACCAUUAAAUAUAGCUAUUCUCUAAUUGUGAAAUUAAUAAGUAAUAUUUUUUUGAAAACUUAUGAAACAAAUCUUAGAUUCUCUAACAAAUGUUAACUAUUGAAACAAAUGUAAAUUUUAGCAUCCACAUAAGUAAAUUUAAAUAAAUAGUUUUCCAAAGAUAAGGUAAAAUGGGUGCCAUUUUUCAAUUCCUACUUUUAGUUCACACUCUCUCCCUACAUCUUCUUCAAAUCAUUCAUAAAAUACUUUUUAUUCAUCUAUUCAAGUUCAUAUACAUUUUUUUAAAGACACUUAAUGUUAAUAUACAGUUUUUUUUCAAAUAUUGAUUCAUUCAUUUAAAUUCAUUAAUUUUAGUUUUAUAUGGGAGGUAAAAAUUGUCAUUAUUUAAUAAAAAAAUAAGAUUUUUCUUAGUUGACCUUAAUAGGAAUUCACUUUUUUAAAAAAAAAAUUUAUUACUUGUUUAAAUACUUUCAUAACAAACGAUCCAGCUUGAGAACAAUUUCAUUGUUUAUACAGUGUAAUAUAAACAAUGACAACACUACAAAAACUUUUCAGAAAGCAGUUACUUGUUCUUUUGCUUGUUUCUAUAAUCAAAAUGUAUGUUAGCUACAUUUAUUUGUAGACAUUCCAUUUAAAAGUAAUUUUUCUCAUUUCUCAAAAAAAAAAUAUUCCUAUACAUUAUAAGAAAUUUGUAAACGAUAAGAUUCUACCGAGACUUAAUACAAGCUUCGAGACAUUUUUAUGUCUUAAAAUAUUUUUAAGUUUAUAUUUUCUAACUGUGCAAUCCUGUUCAAGCUUUGUUUCAAAGAGAGGCUUAUUUUAACUUUUAUUUUUUUAAACAGCAAUGUUAUUGCAUUAUCUAUUGAAAAACAUUCCACUUAAUCAUUUACAAGAAGAUGUUAAAUUGAAUUUUUAGUUUUAAGCUUUGAGAAGCAAAAACUAGUUUUAUAGGCAUAAAAACAGGGUAUCUACAAACAUGGACAGUCAUGAGAAAUCGUGGAAAAUCACGGAUUUUGGUAUUGAACAAAAUUUGUCAUGAAAUCUCAUGAUUUUAACUAUUUUUUUAAAAAAAAAUCAUAAAAAGUCAUGGAUUUGGGUUUAAAAAUCUAAUUUUUAAAAUGGAAUUGACCCCGACUCCUGAUUUCACGGUGCUCCGAAUAUCUGAAUGUGUAACAAAAUCCCCAUUCAUGAUCAUAUUUUAUUAAAAUAUAAAAUGUUUUUUUCCUGUUCUUUAAAAAUUAUGGUGUUCUUUCAAAAAAUGAAGGAAAGAACGUCAUUUCUAGAGCAAAAUAUCUUUUAAACUUCCUUGAUUGCAAAAUUUUUUUAUUAUCUUUUUAUUUUAUCAAUUUAAAAUUCUAGCUGAAGCAUGCCAGUCAUUGACGAAUUUUUUUUUAAAUUCCGAAAUGAGAACAGAAAAAAUCAAAAGUAUUUCUUUCCUUUCGGAUGAACAAGAAAAGUAUCUUUAGAAUAUAAUUCUGCAGAGAAAAAGAAAAAUUAUUUUCUUUUGUGUAUUUUUUUUCCAGCUAUUUAAUUAUUUUAACUCUUUCUUUACUCUGUUUUCUUUUUAAAUUUAAAAUCCAUGAAUAUGAUGAUGCAGAGUACAACAAUUUUGGUUAUUCCUCUCAUAGCAAUUAAUGUUAUUAUGAUGCUUUUUUAAAUUUAGUGUUGUGUUUUUGUCGGAGAAAAUAGCAACUUUGGUAAGUCAUGAAACAUUCUUGGAAUUAUUCAUGAAAAAAUAAUUAUUCUUGAACCAAAGUUAUGUAUCUCAAAUCUAUUUUGUCAACACAAAAUUUAUUUUUAAGAAAUAAAUUGCCAACAAAAAUUCAGUUGAAAUAUUGAAUAAUUAAAAAUUUAUUUAGAUUUUGUGAGAAACUUUUAUUUGUACAUUAAAAGUAAUUAUGAUAGUAACAACUCUUCUAUUAUGGUGCAACAUUUAACAUAAAUGUGAUAGUUUUGGGGAUCUCUUUUCAAUUUGGUAUUUAUAUAUAUAAAGAAAAUGUAUAUGUUCUAUUUUAUUUAAAUAUUUUGGUUAGUAAAAAUAUUAUUUUUAUGCAUGUAGUUGUUUGUUAUUUUAUGUUUUAAACCUUGACACAUUUUUUACAAGUGUAGCACUUUUUAAUUUUGUUUUUUUAAUAAUUAUUUAAGUGCAAUUUAACAAUUUGGAAGCUAUUUAAAUAAAUAUUUACAAUUUUAACUUGUCUGAAAUAGAAACUGUGCUAUUUAAACUAUGAGGUGUGAUAAAAAAAUUUUUGUGUUGAAAUUGUUUUAUUUGAUUGCUAAAAUAAAAUGUGACAACCUA